GGGACUAACUUCCAGAGCCAAGGACUCGGUGCCCAGCCCCCACCCAGGCAUCUCAAUUUUUGGUGACUGUGCCCGUAGUUCAGAUGGUCCGUUCAUUUCUUGAUCAGCUUUUCAGUACUCCAACUUACUGCUACACUCUUCUCUGCAUCUGGAGGUUCCUCUGGUUCGUUUGACCUUUCCCCCAGUAGGUGACUUUCCAGUGUGUGGGAUCCCUUUCUCCUCCUCAGUUCCCUUUCGAGAGUGCCCGUCCCGCUUGGAUUCACCUUCUCUCGCUCUCCUCUUUUCUCCCAUUCUGCCUAGUAAUGUCACAAACUUCUUGCCGUUAUUGGAGCUUAGGUUCCUCUGCCAGCGAUUGGUUGCUGUUCUGUGCGAGUCAUUUAUUCUGUAGAUGUGCUUUUUUUGUUGUGUUUGUGAGAGAGGGCGAGCAUGUCCCCCUACCCCUCCGCCAUCUUGUCUCUCCUCUCUGUGAGUAAAGUAAUCUUGGUUGGAGGUUUUUCCUUUCAUCACAUUAAGUAUAUCAUGCCACUCCCUUCUGGCCUGCAGAGUUUCUGCUGAAAAAUCUGCUGAUAACCUUAUCGGGGUUCCCUUGUAUGUUAUUUGUUUCUUUUCCCUAGCUGCUUUCAAUAUUUUCUCUUUGUCUUUAAUUUUGGUCAAUUUGAUUAAUAUGAGUCUCAGAGUGUUCCUCGUUGGUUUAUUUUAUAUGGUACUCGUUGCACUUCCUGGAUUGGAGUGAGUGGUUCCUUUCCCAUGUUAGGGAAGUUUUCAGCUAUUAUCUCUUGGAAUAUUUUUUCUGUCCCCUUCUCUCUCUCUUCUCCUUCUGGCACCCCUAUAAUAUGGAUGUUGGUGCUUUUAACAUUGUCCCAGAGUUCUCUGAGACUCUCUUCAUUUGUUUUCAAUCUUUUUUUUCUUUUCUGUUUUGCAUCUGUAAUUUCCACUAAUCUGUCCUCCCUACCUCGCUUAUUCAUUCUUCUGCCUCCUGUAUUCUGCUGUUAACUGCUUCUAAUGAAUUUUUUAUUUCAGUUAUUGUAUUUUGCAUCUCUUCUUGUUUAAGCUUUAUAUCCUGUAUCUCUUUGCUCAGUGUUUCCUGUAAGUUAUCCAUCUUUGCCUCCAGUUUAUUUCCAAUGUCUUGCAUCAUCUUCAGCAUCAUCAGUCUAAAGCAUUUUUCCUGGAGGCUGAUAAUCUCCUGAUCACUUAGCUGAUUUUCUGGGGUUUUUCCUUUCUCCCUCAUUUGAGUUAUAGUUCUCUGUCUUUUCAUGUUUAUAGGUUUUUGGUGUAGUGACCUUUUUACAGAUAAUAGAGUUGUAGCCUCUCUUACUUCUGGUGUAUGCCACCCUUGUGGCUGAAGUUGGUACAGGGGGCUUGCUGUAGGCUUCCUGAUGGGAG
rnacentral:lncRNA from 1 species